GGCAAUUUACUUCGCAACACUCGCUUUUACUGCUGGCAGGGCAAAGUUUUGUUUCGACGGCUUAUAUGAGAUGGCUUCUCGCCACUCCAGCCACGUCCAAUAUCCAACCAUGCACGCAAAAGUUUGCCAAAAACUUCUCUCGAGUCUAACAAAUUCAAUUUGUCAGGCCUGGCGCGCCUCGGAGUGCGGCUAAUCCAUUUACAAUUUCAAAGUAAACAAACAAAAUGUAUCCUCAGCUCGUCGAGACAUUUAGCUUUGGCAUAUCCAAUGAAAAUGCAGUGCAAACUUUGCGGAAAACUGUCAACAGCUUUGCUCGAGAGUUUUGUGUGCAGUUUUGAAAGCCUACUUCAGGCACUUAUACAAUAUUUUUAUGACUAAUAAAACGUAUUUCAUUAUGUUUAAAUACGUAAGUGAUUUAAGACAUUUUAAUUAUUGCUACACGAAACAAACCCCGAUAAAUGUUUAUAACUACACGUUAUAAAAUAUCCUUUGCUAUACAUGUAUGAUUAAUACAUUUAUAGAUUUUUAAAACGGUUAAAACUACAAAAAAAUAAAAAAAAUAAAAAAAUUAAAAAAAACGCCCUCCUCCUCGAUUCUCAUAAGUGCCACUUAAGCGCCCUCAAAAAAUAUUUUUAUAAGAAUUUUUUUUUUUUUUUAUUGUUAUUUUUAUUUUUUUUUUAUAUACUCCCCUUUUCCUCCCCUCUUCCUCCCCUCCUCCUCGAGUCUUAUUACAUUAAGAUAUAUUGAGAUUUGUUUUUGUCUUCAAUAUCAUUCAAAAUUCAAGUGGAAGAAAACUGAGGCAACUAAGGCAACAAAUUGGUCAACGCAAUAACGCGCAUACGCCCCAUGGACACGUUUCCCAUGCUCUAUGGACGAAUUUACCUUAAAAUUAAAUUCGAGGAUUUUGCAUCCAGGCAAGUAAUCUAUAUAUAGCUAUAUACCUGAGGCUUUAUACACUUACAUAUACAAUAUAUAUGUAUAUAAACAUAU